rnacentral:rRNA from 1 species
GAUGAACGCUGGCGGCGUGCCUAACACAUGCAAGUCGAACGGAGAAACGCUUAGCUUUUUCCUCUGAGGGUAGCGGUGGACAGCUGGGUAACAACUCGAUAGUAAACUGCUACUUCGUGGAGGAUAACGGGAUGAAAGUGCUGCUAAUACAGCAUAUACUGAACCGGUUGGUUCAAGGGUUAUAGACAGAUUUGGUGUCUGUUUGAGAUGGUUUCGCGCCGUAUUAUCUAGUUGGUAAGGUAACGGCGUACCAAGGCAACGAUGCGUAGCCGACCUGAUAGGAUGAUCGGCCACACUGGAACGGAGAAACGGCCCAGACGCCUACGGGAGGCAGCAGUAGGGAAUAUUCCGGAAUGGGCGCAAGCCUGAUGAAGCAACGCCGCGUGGGUGAUGAAGGUCUUCGGAUCGUAAAGCUCUUUUAUUGGGAAAGAAGAAAUGCGGAAGUAUCUGUGGAUGUCUUGACGGUACCUAAAGAAGAAGCGCCGGCUAACUACGUG